UGCCCGCAACGCGCCUGUGCGAGGGGCGGCGCGGGCGGGGACAAGGCGGAGAGCCGGCCGCAGAUAGCCCUCCGCGCGUGCGCGCGCACCGCCCUCCCGCCGGACCAAUGAACGCCGUCGUUUUCUAUCCGCCCCAGCACCGCGUCUCGAUGCGUUCUAGAUGUGCGCGUGCGCGUCACUGAAGCUCGAGCCCGGGCGGAAGGGGAGAGGCGUCUGUGCCCUCACCGCUCCUUCAAGGCGCUGGAGCGCCGAGGUUAAUAUUUUGCCAAACUGGAGUAGUUUGAGGAGCUCCAGGGUGCCCUUGUGACAGUGCAAGAGUUGUCCCUUUUUGGCCAUGGCAUGCUGUCAGCCAGCACACCAGAUGGAAGUGGAGAAGUGGAGAAGUGUGGCCUUCUGUUGGGAAAGGUACUCUGCAGACACCCAGGAAGAACACAACAGUUGUUGAAUUCAUUGCUAGUGAGGAAAACAGCAGUGUUAGCACUGAAAAAAGAGGGGGUGAAUCUGGCUUCUGGUGCCUCAUGCAAGCUAUUCUUCAGCUCCUGUUCAUUACUAUUUUUCACAUCUUUCAGGGACAUGGAGGAAAUGAAAGCACUUUAUAGCUGCAUCACUUGAUAAAGUGAAAAGAAGAAUUCUCCUCUCUUCUCUUCCCAGAGGACAGGUCAGCGUCCUGCUGCAUGGCCCAGCCUCCAGCAUUGCUCAUCCUUCAUUUGUGCCUGCUUUGCAACUGAGCAUCUCCACACCUCUUAAUUUGAUCACAGCAAAUGAAAGGAGUGUUUUCAGUGUAAUAAACCAGCUGUUUGAAGCAGUGCUGAUGGAGCAGCAUCCUUUUUGCAUGCUUGUAACUGUGUCAGCAAAUACUUGCUGCUGUGUUGGGUCAGGAGGGAGCUAUUCAUCCUCCUGGGCAGCAGGGAUAUCCCAGGCUUCUAUAAAAAGGCUCAGGGGGAGGGAGUAACAUUGAAAUAACAAGCUAGACAAAGAGACAAAGUCAUAUCUGAAAAAGUCAAAGGCCACAUAACGCCUCUGCUCCAGAGCCAUCAACUUGUGUUUGGUUGGGGAUGGAAUUUCAGAGCUGUCUGAGGUGGAUGUGCCACUUCCCAGGGCUCUGCUUGUGCUGCUGCAGGUAGGACCUGGGAACACAGGGGAUGCACAUCCUGAGUGCUUUUGCCAAUGCAGACCACAAAUGUACACUGCAGCUGAGCUGAGCUGAGAGAUCCCCUGCCCGCCUGUAGCCCUGCUCACUGCACGCAGUCUGGCCAUUCGCUGAGCUGGUUCGCCCUCCUCACUUGGUGGGAGAGGACUCACUUGUUUCACAGGCACUUGUUUCUGCUGGUUUGGGGAAUCAAACUGCCUCACAGCAGGACCAGCAAAGCUGGAGCUGACACGAAGGAGAAAGAGGAAAGGGCUCACCAGAAUCCCAAAUUCUUUAGAAGUAAAAUGCGUAUGUUUUGCAUUCUGUCUCAUCAGCCUUGCCACCCAGCAUCAACCGCAUUCCAGAGAGGCACAUUUCCCCUAUGUACCCUAUAUAGCCAAGAAUGAGUGAGUUCCAGAGCUCCAGCCCAAGGUCUGAUCUUCUUCCUGAAGUGCUUAUUGUCUCAGAUAAGGACAGCCCAUGGUGGUUUUGCCCCAGUUUUCAUGUAAGUGGCCAAAGUCUGGGUGCAGGUGUACAAACUGAGACACUACCGAUGGAUUUCCCUGAGGCCUGGACAGCCAAAGUCAUCUCAGUAUUUCUUCGCUCUUUGGCAGUAGGGACAAAUGAAAUCCUGGCACUUCCCACAGCCGACGGAUCUGCGCUUUAAAUUAGAUCUGGGUUACAGGUUUGUAGACACAGCAGUUGCUUGUCUCAGGGCACCAAUUCUGCUCACACAUCUCUCCGCGCUCCCCCUGCCCACGCAGCCCCCAGCAGUGUGCCUUUCACACCGGCUGUUUGCCCUCCCUCCCUCCCCACUGCCGUGGGCUAUGGCUUGGCUCUCACCUUAGCUGACCCCACUAUUUUUAGCAGGGCUUGUGGUGCUGGAGAACAUGGCUGGAGAGGAGCUGCUCGUGCCAGGAGGAGCCAAAUCCAGCUUGUGCUGGUGAUUCCAACAGAGGAGACUGUACCACCACAGGCAUAAGUGAAGUGACUUUGUCUCAAAUUCAAGAAGUGGGGACCUGAAAGAGCCCUGGGUGUCUAGGCUCAGUAAUGCUACUUGGGUUUUAAUUCCCCUCGGAAAAAAAUGAGACUGGUAGGAGGGACUGGGGCCCCACAGCUCUGGGGCCAUAGGAAGAAAAUAUCCAUGAACUGACAGCACCAUUGCCAAGCUGCACAAGAAGUUGGAUGGGAAAUUGUGUGGCCUGGGACGUUCUUGGCUGCUUGGAGUGAGAUUUUUUAAGCACAGCCGGAAAAGGGGGAUUUUCAAGUAAUUUUGGUGAUUCACAGGAAAUGCCAUUACUGCACAGCUGAUGCUCUACCAGUGCACUUGUUCCUGGAAGACUUUCCUGCAAAGUUUCCCUGGCGAGGUAUUGCUGCCAGGAGUGGUGCCUGCAGGCUGCUUGGAUUGCCUGGGCUCUGCUGCAGAGCUCUGAGCAUCCAGCCAGCCAGAAAGGUUUGGAGACAUGAGAGCCCUGCAUGUUUCUGCUUUCCUUUAGGUCUGCAGGCAGGAGGAGGAACAGCAGGUCCUUUUGUUUGGCACACUCCCCAGGGACAAUUUGCUGAAUGGCGGUGAAGCUGAGGUCGAACUUUUCCAUGAUGUCAGACUUGAAACCACUUGGAGUAUGCUGGUGAAUGCCUUGUGAGGUGAGGCAAGAGGCUCCCAGGAAGUUAUGGGACAAAGGACGUAAAUGGCAGCGAGGCUGAUUCAUGGCUUGUCAUAUCCGUGGCUACGUCAAGUCCUCAGCAGCAGCUUCUCUGGCACUGGUUAAUUUAUUACGCUGCUAGUGAGGAGUGCUGAUAUUUGGCUUCCACACCACACUUCCACUGCUGCAAUCACUCAGCUUCAAAUCACCAGGGAGGGUUGCUCUUUGCAUUGGAUUCACCGCAGUGGGGAAAGAAAAGUCCACGGGAACAAAGAGUGAAGCCCACAGCCUGGGAGGAAGUGCGAGGGGCAACAGUCUGAGCUGCUACUCCAUCUCAUGCUUCUUUUGCUGGGCACCAGGGCGUGUGCUGUGGGAUGACAGCAUGGAGGUGAUGGCCCAGGUAAAGCAGUGACAGCGAUGUCCAGCCACUGCCAAAGAGACCUCCAUACAGAGCAGAGAAGGAAUGACACAGCUAAGCCAAAGACAAGUAAACCUUUGGCCCAUAAAUAACCCCUUUAGAAAUAAAGAGCUGACUCAAUUUAUUCUGCAUGGAUCAAAUUCUAUCUCCUUAUUUUUAGCCUCCGCUCUGCCUCAUGGUGGAGGUGGUGCCCCCCAGCACAGCCUGCAGCCUGCAGCUCCUUCCUGCAGCAACUGCUGCCUGUUGGAAGGCCCUCAUACAGCGUGGGGGUAAUUACUGUGAGCAGGUGUGCUUCCCUUCCGUGGUGGACUUAGGUACAGGUUACAUGGACUGGAAAGAGAAGAAGAGAGAAAUGGAAUGACAUCUACUGGUUUUUCAUGUGAUGCUUAUGCUAAUGACCAGCUCAGAUAUGAAGUCCUGUGAACAUAUUUAACUUUAUGGCACUUGCCUCCUUGCCUUAGCACCUUAGCUUGGAUUCCCAUACUUCACUGCACACAUGAGGAACCGUGCUUGAGGCAAAGUCCACUUCCCAGAUGUGCAGUGUGGGAGGAAGCUCUGUGAUUAGGACGCACCUGCC